CCUACGGGAGGCAGCAGUGGGGAAUAUUGCUCAAUGGGGGAAACCCUGAAGCAGCGACGCCGCGUGAGUGAAGAAGGAAUUAGUUAUGUAAAGCUCUAUCAGCAGGGCAGAAAAUGACGGUACCUGAGUAAGAAGCCCCGGCUAACUACGUGCCAGCAGCCGCGGUAAUACGUAGGGGGCAAGCGUUAUCCGGAUGGACUGGGUGUAAAGAGAGCGUAGACGGAGGUGCAAGUCCGAUGUGAAAGGCGGGGGCUCAACCACCGGACUGCUUUUGAAACUGUACGGCUGGAGUGCAGGAGAGGUAAGUGGAAUUCCUGGUGUAGCGGUAAAAUGCGUAGAGAUCAGGAGGAACACUAGUGGCGAAGGCGGCUUACUGGACUGUAACUGACGUUGAGGCUCGAAAGCGUGGGGAGCAAACAGGAUUAGAUACCCCUGUAGUC
rnacentral:rRNA from 1 species